UACUGACGCUUUUAGCUUUAUCUUAAAUUUGAAUAAACCCUUGAAACGCAAAGCCAAAGGUUUUCAUGGUGUGCAAGAAACUCGUGGUAUAUUCAAAGUUUUCACAUUUUAUAAGCACGCUGAUUAUUAUAUUUUUUCGAAGGUUAUGGAAGAAGCUGAUUGGAGCGAAAUGUUACCCAAGGCUCCUAUCAGUAAAACUAGCUAUCGUGGAUCCACGAACGUGGUGCUCUGGCGGUGUGUAAAUCUACUAAUGUCAUUCUUUUUCUUUCUUGCUACAUGUGUUCAGGUAAACGACCCUGAUCCUGUCUUGUGGAUGGUGGUGUAUGCUGUACCUUCUAUACUAACCCUGCUGAUU